rnacentral:rRNA from 1 species
UACGAAGGGUGCAAGCGUUACUCGGAAUUACUGGGCGUAAAGCGUGCGUAGGUGGUGAGUUAAGUCUGUCGUGAAAGCCCCGGGCUCAACCUGGGAAUGGCGAUGGAUACUGGCUCGCUAGAGUGCGGUAGAGGAGAGUGGAAUUCCCGGUGUAGCAGUGAAAUGCGUAGAGAUCAGCAGGAACACCCGUGGCGAAGGCGGCCACCUGGGCCUAACCUGACGCUGAGGCGCGAAGGCUAGGGGAGCGAACGGG